rnacentral:tRNA from 1 species
UUUUCAUAGUUGAAGAACAACAGGGGUUUUUCAGACCUCAGGUUUUGGUUGCAAUCCAAAUGGGAAU